rnacentral:rRNA from 1 species
UAGGGAAUCUUCCACAAUGGCGCAAGCCUGAUGGAGCAACACCGCGUGAGUGAAGAAGGGUUUCGGCUCGUAAAGCUCUGUUGUUGGAGAAGAACGUGCGUGAGAGUAACUGUUCACGCAGUGACGGUAUCCAACCAGAAAGUCACGGCUAACUACGUGCCAC